UACGAAGGGGACUAGCGUUGUUCGGAUUUACUGGGCGUAAAGCGCGCGUAGGCGGAUCGCUAAGUCAGGGGUGAAAAUGCCAAGGCUCAACCUUGGAACUGCCUUUGAUACUGAAGAUCUGAGUUCGGGAGAGGUGAGUGGAACUGCGAGUGUAGAGGUGAAAUUCGUAGAUAUCGCAAGAACACCAGUGGCGAAGGCGGCUCCACUGGCCCGAUACUGACGCUGAGGCACGAAAGCGUGGGGGAGCAAAC
rnacentral:rRNA from 1 species